GACGAACGCUGGCGGCGUGCUUAACACAUGCAAGUCGAACGGAAAGGCCCUGCUUUUGUUGGUUUCUCGAUUGGCGAACGGGGGAGUGACACGUGAGGAACCUGCCCUUGUCUGUGUGAUAACUUCAGGAGACUGGGGCGAAUACCGGAUAUAAGCUCCUGCUGCAUGUGGUUGGUUGGAAAGUUUCGGCGGUGGGGGAUGGUCUCGCGGCUUAUCAGCUAGAUUGUGUGGUAGUGGCGUACCAAGGCUUUGACGGGUAGCCCGCAUGAGAGGGUGACCGGCCACAUUGGGCCUGAGAUACGGCGCAGACUCCAACGGGCCGCAGCAGUGGGGAAUAUUGCACAAUGGGCGGAAGCCUGAUGCAGAAACGCCGCGUGCGGAAUGCCGGCCUUCGGGUUGUAAACAGAUGUCGACUGUGCCGAAGAGGGAGUGACGGUACUGGGUAAAGAAGCACCGGCUAACUACGUG
rnacentral:rRNA from 1 species